GCCAGGGCACCCAAGGCCACAGAAAUGCCCAGGGAUGAGUCCUGGCUGGAGAUGCCUUGGCCGAGCUGACUGUGCACUUCCAGGGCUCACAGGGGUCUGGCCAGGAGACUGAGCAAGGGGACCAGGGAGGUUGUGUAGCAGGCUUCUGCACAGCAAGGCAGACAUUCUUCUUGGAGCCCCCAACCCAAAUCAGGUCUUCCACCUCCUCUUCCUAAAGACCCUUUACUGCUGUCGUUCCUUUACUGAACUACAAGUUUAGAGGACAUGGAUUUCAGUGCCCUCAUCUGGCCAACCAUCUUCAGCUGCCAAUGGACAAGUGUCUUCCUGGUACUGCACAUGAAGAUGUCCCGCUCUCCCCUGCUCAAGGAGAGAGUGCCUGACCUGAGCUGGGCCCAUCAGAUCCAGUACUUACCUGGAAUAGGAAAAAGAUGGGGAGAGUGACCAAAGACUACAAAAAUCUCUGAAGCUUAUCUACUUGAGAGAGAGUCCCUGAAGAUACUGGCCUCUCAUUCCUGCUAUGUAUAUCCAAUGUGACUGAACUCUGAAUAAAAUAUACAAGUUAUAACAAUGUAGCAAUUGACCCAGCAAACGAGGACACAAACGUGUUGAAGGGAUUUGAGUUUGAUGUCUUGCAUACAAUGUGAUCCCACUGUAUGACUACACAAAUGUUGGCAAAAGUAAGUUCAGAGGAAAUGGUAGGCAAGUACUUCCCAGUUUUGACCAGAAGAUGGAGAAAAAAGAAUUCUCAAAAAAUAUUAAAAGUGUCUACGGAGAAAUAGACAAGCGAUGCACGACAGAUACAUGUGUCAGUCUGGUCCCUGCAGUUGUAUUUGUAAUAAUACACAUUGGAGCAAUUUCAUGGCCAUCGGUUAGAGAAUGUUUGAGGAAUGAUCCUUUCAUAUCAAGAAGGACAUUUCAAAGAUCAAAACCUGAUGGAAAUGCUGGAGACCAUGGCGCUGAUAGGAGCUCAUGCGUGUUGUCCAAUUACUACGUGACAGGCAUUGGCUCCAUGCUUUUCCUGCACUGCUCAUUUAAACACUGGACAACCUAAGUGUUCUGAUUUAGCCCAUUGGACAGAUAGAAAUGGAGGCACAGAAGAUUAAUGUGUUUAACUUCAAACCCUGGCAGAUUAGGUUUUUCAUCCAGAGCCUGUGGCUUCACCAUAGCUGUGAUUCACGUUCUGUCAUUCUCCUCUUUAGGAAUUUCCAGUAUUCCAAAUAUGAGAAGCUGAGAAAACAAACAACAAACUCAAAACCCUAAAAACCAGGAUACGUAAGGGUAGAUGUUUGUUGGGUGUGGAUUAAAAAUGGACUUUUUUUGCCCCAAGCAACAAAGAGGCACCUUAGAAAAUAGACAAGAGACAAGAAGAAGAGAAGCUUUAAGAGAUAUUUGGUCCAAGGAAGAGACUCUUCAGAUGGAAGGUCACGUCAGCUAGAAACAUUAAUAUGACUGGAUGGGCUCAAACCACUGACUUUUCAGUCAACAUCCGACAGCACUAACCUAGUGUUCCAGAGACACUGCUUGUUAAACAGUGAAAGCUGUUGCUCAAUUGUGUCAUCCGUAAUUGUCAAAUAUUGCCAUUUAGUAGCACAAGGAAGUAUUCUCCGUUGCCAAGCUAGAGCACCCAUAACUCUUCUGUUUUGUUGAACAUUCUUCCCCACCACAAACCCUCUUUAGAAGACUGGGGGCUCCUAAAGCAUUGAGGCCGAGAGUCCCAUCCUUGUGCAUGUUUGGGCAUUGAUCCAUGGCCAAGUCAGUGGGAGACUCCUCCACCCCUACGCCAGGUCCCCAGGUGACAACUGCAGUCUCUGGAUCUGAAGUCAUCCACUUUCCCAUUCCUAGCUCACCUCACCCAUCGUGAAGCCUGAUUAGUAUUGCCAGAGACCCGAGUGGGCAGAUGCCCACACCAAAGACAGAACCUGCUGUGUGCCCACCUUGCUGAUCCCUCCAUCCUUCUAGACAAAGGCUUCAUAAGCCAAGGACCUUGGGUUUGCUCACAAGGCAGCCCCUCACCUAGUAGGCAUUAGUUCAUUAUGUAUAUGUAUAUGUAGUCCUCAGGUUGUAUUCCUUAAAUAUAUAUAAUUUAAGGAUAUGUAUUAUAUAUAUAUAUAAAUAUAUAUGUAAUUCCUUAAAUAUAUAAUUUUAAUACAAUUUUUUUUUUGAGACGGAGUCUCACUCUGUCUCCCAGGCUGGAGUGCAGUGGCACCAUCUUGGCUCACUGCAAGCUCCACCUCCCAGGUUCACGCCAUUCUCCUGCCUCAGCCUCCCAAGUAUCUGGGACUACAGGCGCCCGCCACCACGCCAGGCUAAUUUUUUUUUUUUGUAUUUUUAGUAGAGAUGGGGUUUCACCAUGUUAGCCAGGAUGGUCUCGAUCUUCUAACCUCAUGAUCCACCCACCUCGGCCUCCCAAAGUGGUAGGAUUACAGGCAUGGACCACCGCGCCUGGCCAAAACAAAGUUUUUAAAAGAUUCCUUUAAUAAACAUUUACAAUAGCAUCAAGAAAUAUAAACGACAUAGCAAAUAUGUGAAAGCCAGCCAGACUCUCAAUGGCAUCCAGAAAUAUAAACUACAUAGAAAAGACAUGAAAGCCAGCCAGGCUUGGCCUCAAAUCCCAGCACUUUGGAAGGCUGUGGCAGGAGGGUUGCUUGAUCUCAUAAGCUUGAAACUAGCCUAGGCAACAUAGUGAGCCCUCAUCUCUACUGAAAAUCAGAAAAAUUAUCCGGGUUUGGUGGUGUGAGCCUGUAGUCCCAGGAAUCAGUGGAUGAGGCCCUAGGAUGUCAUAGGCCUGAGAAUUCCAUGCUGCAGUGAGCUGUGAUUGUGCCACUGUACUCCAGCCUGGGUGAAAGAGUGAGAUCCUGUGCAGAAACAAAAGAAGAAAAAAAGAGAUGUGAAAGCCUAUAUAUUGAAGACUACCAAGUACUGCUUAGAGCAGUUAAAGACCUUUGGAAUAGAAAAUGUUUCUUCUUGCAUUUCAAGAUUGCUUUUGUUUUGGGGGGACACACUAUUUUUUAGGAAUAUGAAGUUCUUGUUAGGCAUUCCUGUAAAAAAGGCCACUUUUUGAUAGGAUUGUAUUGAAUCUGUGGGUUGCUUUGAGUUGUAUUUUUAUCUUAACCAUGUUACAACUUCCAACCCAUGGACACAAGAUGUCUGUCCAUUGAUUUAGGUCUUCCUGAAUCUCCUCGAGCAAUGUUCUGUAGUUGUCUGUGUACAAGUACUGCACCUUCUUGAACAAAUUUAUUCCCAGGCAUAUUAUUCUUACCAGUGCUAUUAUAAAUGAAAUCAUUGUGUCAAUUUUCUUCUCAGAUUGUUCAUUGCUAACACAACUGAUUGUUUGCUGAAAGUUUGCUGAAUUCGCUUAUUAACUCUAGUAGUGUGUGUAUGUGAGUGUGUGUGUGUGUGUGUGUGUGUGACUGGCCUCUGUGUGCAUGUAUGUGUGUUUGCAUCUGUAGGUAUUAUUUGGGAUUUUCUAUGCAUAGGAUCACACCAUCUGCAAAUUGAGAUCAUUUUGUUUUCUGUUCAAAAACACUUUUUCUCAUGUUUAUUUUUAAAAGAUAAUUUGGCCAGGUGUAGAAUUGUAGGUGACAGUUUUUCUUUUUUUUAAGUUCUUUAUUGCAAACUUCUUGUUUGUAUGAGAAAUCUUAUGCCAUCAUUAUAUUUAGUGCUCUGUAUGUAACAUGUUCUUUCCCUUUUUAUUCCUUUUAGGAUUUCCUUUUUAUCACUGGUUUUGAUGGAUUUGAUUAAGGCGUUCCUUGGUGAAGUUUUCUUCAUGUUUCUUGUUCUUAGAAUAAUCAUAUUUCUGUAAUAUUUGAAGUUUAUGGUUUCCAUGGAGCUUCUAAAUCUUUCAUCCAGUAUGUUUUAAAUAUCUUUGUCUCUCUUCUCCACUACACGCCCUUCAGGGAUUCCAUUUAGCCCUAUACUGGGGGGUUUAAAGUUUUGAUGCCGAUGGUCUUUUUAUGUUUUCAAGUCAUUUGUUACUGUGUGUUUCAUUUAUGUUAGUUUCAAAUUCUAUUCCUUCUAGUUCAAUAAUCUUCUCUUCUGCAAUGUUUAAUCCACUGCCUUCUUCCAUUUCAGACUGUAAAUCAUACUUUUUAUUUACAGAAUUUGAUAUUUAAAAAAUCUUCAACCUCCCUAUUUAAUUAAAAUACAAUUAUACUAACUGCUCUAAUGUCCUUUUCUUCUAUUUCCAACAUGUCUGUCAAUUUCAACUAGAUUAUUAGAUU
rnacentral:lncRNA from 1 species